rnacentral:rRNA from 1 species
GACGAACGCUGGCGGCGUGCUUAACACAUGCAAGUCGAUCGGAAAGGCCCUGCUUGCAGGGUACUCGAGUGGCGAACGGGUGAGUAACACGUGGGUGAUCUGCCCUGCACUUCGGGAUAAGCCUGGGAAACUGGGUCUAAUACCGGAUAGGAGCCAUUUUUAGUGUGAUGGUUGGAAAGUUUUUUUCGGUGUAGGAUGAGCUCGCGGCCUAUCAGCUUGUUGGUGGGGUAAUGGCCUACCAAGGCGGCGACGGGUAGCCGGCCUGAGAGGGUGGACGGCCACAUUGGGACUGAGAUACGGCCCAGACUCCUACGGGAGGCAGCAGUGGGGAAUAUUGCACAAUGGGCGCAAGCCUGAUGCAGCGACGCCGCGUGGGGGAUGACGGCCUUCGGGUUGUAAACUCCUUUCGCUAGGGACGAAGCUUUUUGUGACGGUACCUAGAUAAGAAGCACCGGCUAACUACGUG